rnacentral:rRNA from 1 species
UGUCAGGUGGAGAGUUUGGCUGGGGUAGCACAUCUGUUAAAAGAUAACGCAGGUGUCCUAAGAUGAGCUCAACGAGAACAAAAAUCUCAUGUGGAACAAAAGGGUAAAAGCUCGUUUGAUUCUGAUUUCCAGUACAAAUACGAACCGUGAAAGCAUGGCCUAUCGAUCGUUUAGACCUUCAAAAUUUGAAGUUAGAGGUGUCAGAAAAGUUACCACAGGGAUAACUGGCUUGUGGCAGCCAACCAUUCAUAGCGACGUUGCUUUUUGAUCCUUCAAUGUUAGCUCUUCCUAUCAUUGUGAAGCAGAAUAAAUUAUAUAUACAAGAAAAAAAACUUGAUGGUUGCUAAGUCAAGCAAGACUACGACCUAAGGCAGUGUACCUAUCGAUGGAGUAUAGCUAAUGGCGAGUACCAAGUGUCGUAUUCCCCAAAGAACGUGUGAACCUAAACCUACUCAAUCUUCUCGGCUAUCUAAUAUAAAAAAUGGCAUUGAUGAAUAAUUCCUAAAUUAACUAAUAGCUACUCCAAUUGUUGUCUAACUACGGCUACUAGGGAAGGAUUAAUUCAAGUAAAGGAAUAACCCCUUGGGAAUUCUUGUCUCUGGGAAUGGAAACUAAAGGUGGAAUUGAUUGAUUGAAUUCAAUUUCCGUGGGGAAAUCUCUACGCAAUUAACGCCUUUCUCUAGGACACUAACAUCUUAACUUAAAUUAAUUAGGUUGAAAUCUCUUCCUAACUCUAAUUAUCCAAAUUAGCAUUAUGUACCAAUUAACACUAUUGAGAGUUGUUAAUUCUCAAUCCGGUAGAACGAACACUCUAUCUCUAGGCGAAUUCAAUUCUAGGUUGUAAAGGACAAUCCAAACCUAAACGUCUUUCUCAAGAUCAUUCAAAUUUCAAAAAUCAUUCAACAAGAUGUGAAGAACAAAUCAAUAAACACUUCCAUUGCAAACCAAUAUUGACAAUUAAUACAUUCAAUUCAAUAUUUAAGUACAAAAAUCCCUAGAUAAAGAACCCCAAUGGGUUAACAAGUUUAGCUAAUCAUGUUCAUCAUCACAACCCAUAAGAAUUCAAUUACAAAAAUGAGUAAAGGUAGAGAAACCCGAAUACACCCUUGGAUGAGAGUAAACAGCUCCAAUUCCUCUUGCCCAAUCUUGGAUCGAUUCUUGUUCCUUUUACUCAGAUUGAAACCAAUCGACGAUCCUCACCAAUCUUUGAUCUUUGAAGAGAAUCCAAUUGAAACCUUGAUCCAAGUCUCCUUUUUUCUUAGUUCCAGCUCAGAAAACCCUUGGAGAGAGAAAAAUAUGAGUUUGGGACAUUCUAACCCUAGUUGCCUCCCUUUUCCUCUUUUCUUUCUUUUUAAAUUAAUUUGUCCAGUUGUCGUGAACAUGGUUAUGUUAAUGCUCGUGUUGGGAACAUGACAUGUAUUAGUGGGCGUGUUGGGAACACAGCCCCGUGCUGAUGGCCCUGUUAGUCUUUAUGGUCAUGCUCUUUAAUGCUUCUUUUGUCAAAUGCAUCCAACACAGCUCGUUUUGGUGCCUGUGUUGGGAACACGGCUAGUGUUAAAACCAACACGGCCGUGUUCAGCUUUCUCAUGCGCAAACUUAGCUUGUUUCAGCAGCUUUGACAUUCAAUUAUGCUCUAAUUCUUCCCUUUGUCAUUCUUUGACUUCUUUUGGACCUAAUGCACACAAAUAGAUGCAUAGGGUGAGUGUUGGGACCAAUUCACAUCCAAAUGUACAUAAAAUCAAUCUUAAAAACCCCAAUUAGCUGUGUAUAUUUUAUGCACAUCAAGAAUUCACCAAGUGUUGGAUUGUUCACCCACCAAUAGGGAACGUGAGCUGGGUUUAGACUGUCAUGAGACAGGUUAGUUUUACCCUACUGAUGAUUGUGUCGUAAUGGGAAUUCAACCUAGUAUGAGAGGAACCGUUGAUUCGCACAAUUGGUCAUUGCAAUUGGUUGAAAAGCUAGUGGCGC